GAUGAACGCUAGCUACAGGCUUAACACAUGCAAGUCGAGGGGCAGCACAGUGUAGCAAUACAUGGGUGGCGACCGGCGCACGGGUGCGUAACGCGUAUCCAACCUUCCCGAUACUCAGGGAUAGCCUUCCGAAAGGGAGAUUAAUACCUGAUGGUGUUCAAAUUCCGCAUGUUAUUUGAACUAAAGAUUUAUCGGUAUCGGAUGGGGAUGCGUGACAUUAGAUAGUAGGCGGGGUAACGGCCCACCUAGUCUACGAUGUCUAGGGGUUCUGAGAGGAAGGCCCCCCACACUGGAACUGAGACACGGUCCAGACUCCUACGGGAGGCAGCAGUGAGGAAUAUUGGUCAAUGGUCGGAAGACUGAACCAGCCAAGUAGCGUGAAGGAUGAAGGUUCUAUGGAUUGUAAACUUCUUUUAUACGGGAAUAAAACCUCCCACGUGUGGGAGCUUGUAUGUACCGUAUGAAUAAGCAUCGGCUAACUCCGUGCCAGCCGCCGCGGUAAAAC
rnacentral:rRNA from 1 species